rnacentral:rRNA from 1 species
UACGGGGGGGGCAAGCGUUGUUCGGAAUUACUGGGCGUAAAGGGCUCGUAGGCGGCCAACUAAGUCAUACGUGAAAUCCCUCGGCUUAACCGGGGAACUGCGUCUGAUACUGGAUGGCUUGAGUUCGGGAGAGGGAUGCGGAAUUCCAGGUGUAGCGGUGAAAUGCGUAGAUAUCUGGAGGAACACCGGUGGCGAAGGCGGCAUCCUGGACCAUUAUUGACGCUGAGGAGCGAAAGCCAGGGGAGCAAACGGGG